GUAGCGGUAUAUAAGGUUA
rnacentral:miRNA from 1 species